AUUGAACGCUGGCGGUAGGCCUAACACAUGCAAGUCGAACGCGAAAGUCCUUCGGGAUGAGUAGAGUGGCGGACGGGUGAGUAACGCGUAGGAAUCUAUCCUGUCGUGGGGGAUAACGUUUCGAAAGGAACGCUAAUACCGCAUACGCCCCACGGGGGAAAGCGGGGGAUCUUCGGACCUCGUGCUAUCGGAGGGGACUGCGUCGGGUUAGCUAGGUGGUGAGGUAAAGGCUCACCAAGGCGACGAUCCGUAGCUGGUCUGAGAGGAUGAUCAGCCACACCGGAACUGAGACACGGUCCGGGCUCCUACGGGAGGCAGCAGUGGGGAAUAUUGCGCAAUGGGCAAAAGCCUGACGCAGCCAUACCGCGUGUGUGAAGAAGGCCUUCGGGUUGUAAAGCACUUUCAGUGGGGAGGAAAAGCUGGUGGCUAAUAUCCAUCGGCCGUGACGCUACCUACAGAAGAAGCACCGGCUAAUUCCGUGCCAGCAGCCGCAGUAAGAC
rnacentral:rRNA from 1 species